UACGUAGGGGGCAAGCGUUGUCCAGAUUUAUUGGGCGUAAAGAGCGUGUAGGCGGCUUUGCAAGUCCGUUGUGAAAACUCGAGGCUCAACCUCGAGACGCCGGUGGAAACUGCAAGGCUAGAGUCCGGAAGAGGAGAGUGGAAUUCCUGGUGUAGCGGUGAAAUGCGCAGAUAUCAGGAGGAACACCGGUGGCGAAGGCGGUUCUCUGGGCAUUACCUGACGCUGAGGAGCGAAAGUGUGGGGAGCGAACAGG
rnacentral:rRNA from 1 species